rnacentral:rRNA from 1 species
UGCGGCCUACGGGAGGCAGCAGUGAGGAAUAUUGGUCAAUGGGCGGAAGCCUGAACCAACCAAGUCGCGUGAGGGAAUAAGGCCCUACGGGUCGUAAACCUCUUUUGCCGGGGAGCAAGGGCGGGGACGUGUCCCGGCCCGGAGAGUACCCGGAGAAAAAGCAUCGGCUAACUCCGUGCCAGCAGCCGCGGUAAUACGGAGGAUGCGAGCGUUAUCCGGAUUUAUUGGGUUUAAAGGGUGCGUAGGCGGGCUUUUAAGUAAGCGGUAAAAAUUAGGGG